GACGAACGCUGUCGGCGUGCUUAACACAUGCAAGUCGAACGGAAAGGCCCUGCUUUUGUGGGGUGCUCGAGUGGCGAACGGGUGAGUAACACGUGAGUAACCUGCCCUUGACUUUGGGAUAACUUCAGGAAACUGGGGCUAAUACCGGAUAGGAGCUCCUGCUGCAUGGUGGGGGUUGGAAAGUUUCGGCGGUUGGGGAUGGACUCGCGGCUUAUCAGCUUGUUGGUGGGGUAGUGGCUUACCAAGGCUUUGACGGGUAGCCGGCCUGAGAGGGCGACCGGCCACAUUGGGACUGAGAUACGGCCCAGACUCCUACGGGAGGCAGCAGUGGGGAAUAUUGCACAAUGGGCGGAAGCCUGAUGCAGCAACGCCGCGUGCGGGAUGACGGCCUUCGGGUUGUAAACCGCUUUCGCCUGUGACGAAGCGUGAGUGACGGUAAUGGGUAAAGAAGCACCGGCUAACUACGUGCCAGCAGCCGCGGUGAUACGUAGGGUGCGAGCGUUGUCCGGAUUUAUUGGGCGUAAAGGGCUCGUAGGUGGUUGAUCGCGUCGGAAGUGUAAUCUUGGGGCUUAACCCUGAGCGUGCUUUCGAUACGGGUUGACUUGAGGAAGGUAGGGGAGAAUGGAAUUCCUGGUGGAGCGGUGGAAUGCGCAGAUAUCAGGAGGAACACCAGUGGCGAAGGCGGUUCUCUGGGCCUUUCCUGACGCUGAGGAGCGAAAGCGUGGGGAGCGAACAGGCUUAGAUACCCUGGUAGUCCACGCUGUAAACGGUGGGUACUAGGUGUGGGGUCCAUUCCACGGGUUCCGUGCCGUAGCUAACGCUUUAAGUACCCCGCCUGGGGAGUACGGCCGCAAGGCUAAAACUCAAAGGAAUUGACGGGGCCCCGCACAAGCGGCGGAGCAUGCGGAUUAAUUCGAUGCAACGCGUAGAACCUUACCUGGGUUUGACAUGGAUCGGGAGCGCUCAGAGAUGGGUGUGCCUCUUUUGGGGUCGGUUCACAGGUGGUGCAUGGCUGUCGUCAGCUCGUGUCGUGAGAUGUUGGGUUAAGUCCCGCAACGAGCGCAACCCUUGUUCACUGUUGCCAGCACGUUAUGGUGGGGACUCAGUGGAGACCGCCGGGGUCAACUCGGAGGAAGGUGGGGAUGACGUCAAGUCAUCAUGCCCCUUAUGUCCAGGGCUUCACGCAUGCUACAAUGGCUGGUACAGAGAGUGGCGAGCCUGUGAGGGUGAGCGAAUCUCGGAAAGCCGGUCUCAGUUCGGAUUGGGGUCUGCAACUCGACCUCAUGAAGUCGGAGUCGCUAGUAAUCGCAGAUCAGCAACGCUGCGGUGAAUACGUUCCCGGGGCU
rnacentral:rRNA from 1 species